rnacentral:rRNA from 1 species
AACGAACGCUGGCGGCGUGCCUAACACAUGCAAGUCGUGCGAGAAAGUUCCUUCGGGAGCGAGUAAAGCGGCGCACGGGUGAGUAACACGUAGGUAACCUGCCCCCCAGUCUGGAACAACUAGAGGAAACUCUAGCUAAUGCCGGAUGAGACCACGAUCCCUUCGGGGGUUGCGGCCAAAGAUGGCCUCUACUUGUAAGCUAUCGCUGAGGGAUGGGCCUGCGGGCCAUUAGCUUGUUGGUGAGGUAACGGCUCACCAAGGCUGUGAUGGCUAGCUGGUCUGAGAGGAUGACCAGCCACACUGGGACUGAGACACGGCCCAGACUCCUACGGGAGGCAGCAGUGGGGAAUAUUGCGCAAUGGGCGAAAGCCUGACGCAGCGACGCCGCGUGGGUGAUGAAGGCCUGGUCGGUAA